AGCCCAUCCGAAGCCCAUAAUUUGGCGGGUUAGGUUGUUGCAUGGAGCGCAAACCAACCCGGCCCGGUUUACAGAAUCAUCGUCUCCAUAGAGAAUUUUAUUAUGUGCAUGUCGCUGAUCAGCAAACCCUAGAAAAUCAGCAAGCUUGUAUUUCUCCAUUGAAUCAAAUUUCAAUUUUUUUUAUCCUUUUGCGUACAAAUCUCUGGUUCCUAAUCCAAGCAGAGAUCAAGGUAAGUUUCGAACACCUAUCUCAUGAUACUCAAACUCGUAUUAACAUGGACGGAGUACACAACUGUAUGUAAUUUUUAAUACGAAUGUAUAUGUUAUACAUAUAUGUCUAUACAUCCGCGAAUUUUUUAAGGUCUUGUUAUGUUCUAAACUAUAUGGGGCUUGACUUGAGUAAUACAGUAUGGUGUAUUCAGAAGAUUAUGAAUUCUAUUUCUCUCUCAAUUGUUCUCGUUCAUGGGUUCUCUUGGCUAUAAAUUGAGCUGGAAAUGAUUGUAUAUCAGAUUUUAUAGUAUAUUUUCAAUGUAGCAAUUAAAAUCGUAAUUUUUAGUCUUUUCCACCUCCGCCCAGAUCGUAAAAAGUCCGCCAAAUACUCCUUAAAUAAAGAUUUGUUGGGGGUAUGUGAUAUGUGGAUAAAAUUUUAGAACGUAGAAAGAGAAUUCAGAGGAGAUUGAAGUAUUGCAGAGAGGAUAACAUAGAGAAGUAUCAGAGGGAAGACAGAGUUCUUUGUUGAGAUAAAACGACGCCUUUUACGUCUGUGUACCGGGUACUUCUACAGACACUAGUACCUACUCCGAACUUCUACCGCUUUUCCUGUUUCGUUUCCUAAUUGUAUGAUAAUUAUGGUUUGUUCUUGAUUUACACUGAGUACGUUUGCUUUUAGCUGAACAGUUAAAGAAGUCCUUACAUGUAAAAUACGGGAGCAUAUAACAAUGCGUACAAAGUAAUUGAUAAAAUGUCUCCCAGAUAUUUCCUUUGUUCAGAUGAUUUUAGGUAAAUUUUCUUCAUAAUGAUUUCGAUUCUUUGGUUACAAAUGACCCUCUGCCUGGGGGAAUGACUUGCACCAGAGCAGGAUUUGCUGGGCAGAGAAUAAGCAGGAUUAGGGAGAGGAAGAGAGGGAGAGAGGAAAGAAGGUAGACACAGUAAAUGAAGAUAAAAGAGAAAAAAAAUGAUAUCUUGUUAAAAUUAAUAGAAAUUUUAAACGGGAGAUUGGUUGAACUCUUACCGUAAUCAGCAUUACAAUUUUAAUUAAUUUGCAACUUCUUCAGUUUUGUAGAUCUAUGGUUCCUUUGUAUAUAAUAAAUCCUGAUUUUCAUUAGGUUAAAGUUUGUCCAGCAUGCUUAUUCUGUUAUCAAGUUAUCCUGACUUGCAGCAUUGAUAAGGGUGGCAUUAUCAUGGACUUAGCAGGGAUAUAAUUAUUAUCUUGCAGGUUCUCCUACAUGUUAUCUUGAUAUGGCAACCAUAAAAGAAGGGAUGGUUCAGCCUCAGAAAACUAAUAAUCUUGCUGAGACCACUUCUAAAACUCAAGGUUCUGCUCCGUCAUUCAAACGAUGGGGUAGGAAGCAUCCAUUUGUCAGAUAUGGUCUUCCAAUGAUUUCACUCACUGUGUUAGGGGCACUUGGUCUUGGCCAUCUAUUGCAAGGCAGGCUAGUUCAAGAAUCUUAUUUGCAUAAUUGCAUUUGUUAUUAUAUCAGUUCAUUGUUGCAUCUAAAAUUGAUAUCUUUAUUUUCUUGAUGACACAUCAGUUAAAUCUUUGACUUCAUGUAUCUAUUAAUUGGAGAUUCAAUAAUGUUCUUUGAGCAUGAGACUGAGAUAUAGCACAACAUCUUAUUAUAACAAAUGUUUUAUUGGUGUCAGGAGUCCUGUACUGUUGCAGACAGAUAGUCAAUCAAUUUUUACCUUUUCUUGUUUUCUAGUGGAGGUAGAAGUUUGUGUAAUAUUGAGAAGAUCAUUGAUGGAAGAGACUAGAUCAAAGGCCAAAUUUUACCUAUAGCUUGUAAGAGGAAGUACUUGUGGAUAUUAUUCAGUUUGUCAAUAAAUCUGAAGGCAAAAAUUUAAACCAUCCAGAUUCUUCUUUUCUGUUGCCAGACAAAAUUCCUAGUAUUUUCCAAUGUCAAAGCUGUCAAUAAGGGAGCUCAUGCUCCAUUUUUUACUAGGUAUGUCUCUAUAGUAGCAGUGACCUUUGUCCAAGAUCAACUGGUGAACUGAUCAAGUUUCCUCUAGGGAGUUUGAAUCUUGUACAAUGUCAAGAUUGCCUUUUCUCUUGUUUCUCACUAGACAGUGAAAUGUACAUCAAAUCUUUGACAAUUUAAUUGCACAGACAAUCAAGGAAAUAAUACUUUUUUCAUGCUGGUGUUGGAAUUAAAUUUUAGUUUUCGUGACAAUCUGUCUCUGUCUUGGUCAUUUGUAUCUAUCAUUUUUCUUAGUCAAUGAAUUCGGAAAGUAGCCCCUAGUUAAAGCUAGGCAUCCCACUGAGGUAGCUUGGAGCUGACGUCUCCACCACAUUGGUUCGGUUCAUUUAUUCAUUCUCUUGGCUACCCAACACUCUUGAUUCAAACACUUGUUCAAACACUUCAGCUUCUUUUUGUCUUAGUCUUACCAGAAAAAGCACCAACUCUUAUUUUCAUCUUACAAGAGAUGCAUAUUGGUGAUUCUUUCAAAAAAAAAAGAGAUGCAUAUUGGUGAGCUUGCCAAUCCACUGAAGGAGCAAAAAAUUGGUGGAAAGGACAAAGUGGAACUGAACGUGGUUUCCAGUUUAACCUGCUUGCCUAUAAACUUGAUAUAGUAGAAUCUUAGGUGAUUAGACUGUGCUGCGUGCUAUUAGCAUUCUUCUCUGUCUACGUGUUCAAUAAACAGAGUAGAAAAGAAACAUGAUCAUAUUGACUAUAAUCUCAUAACAUUCUUAGCUACUUAUUUGAACAAUUAUAAUCUUCGUCUGUUUCAAUAAUAAUUUCCUCAUAUUGUUUGUCUCAAGCUAUGCAUUGUGAUGAUAUUUUGUAGUUCAGCAAGGAUAUUGCAAAGGUCAAAN
rnacentral:lncRNA from 1 species